GGUGGGGUGCCGGAGCGGUCGAACGGGGCGGUCUUGAAAACCGUUGGGCGUGCAAGCGCCUCGUGGGUUCGAAUCCCACCCCCACCG
rnacentral:tRNA from 2 species